CGAGUCUUCAAUCAGUUGAAUACC
rnacentral:miRNA from 1 species